UAUGCCGUGACUGGAGUGAAGCCCUUUGGGGAUUGUUUUGUUUUGUGCCUUGCACAGUUUUUGUUUGACAUUUCUGAAUUUUGAAAUAAAGCUCAGUCAGCAGUUAACCGCCGACCCUGUCCCCUUCCUUCCUACACUAACGAACAUUGUUUGUACUACACUGGUGCCGAAACCCGGGAAGGAAGCUGGGUGGCCGCUGCCAUGCAAUCUUCGUCCUCCCCUUCGACAUUUGCGGAAGUCAUCGCCUCCCUCGCGGUCCUGCAUUAGGAGCAACAUGAGGCCCUGCUGGACCUGCGCACCGACCAAGAACGCAGCUUCCAAGCCAUCGUGCAGGCCCAGCAGGAGGACCGCGAGAGGUUCCGGAGCUGGAUUGACCGGGAGGUUCGCCAGGAGACCAUCGGGCAGCCGGCUGCGCCUACCCACCUGCCGCUGAACAAAAUGGGGCCAUGUGACGACCCCGAGGCCUUCCUCGACUUGUUCGAGCGGUCAGCCGAGGCAAGUGGCUGGUCGCAGGUGGCGGCACAGCAGCUGCCAGCAGAGAACCUCCUGGUCUUUGACGAUCUUCGGCGGGCCAUCGUCCAGCAGGUCGGCCGGACCCCCGAGCAGCAUCGUCAACGCUUCCGUUCUCUGGACCUGGGCGAGUCCGGCCGGCCCUUCGUGUUGGCCCAACAGCUCCGGGACUCGUGCCGCAAAUGGCUAUUGGCUGAGGGAAGCGACGUGGACCUGGUUAUCGAUCGCGUGGUACUGGAGCAGUUCAUCACUCGGCUCCCCAAGAAAACCGCCGAGUGGGUCCAGUGCCACCGCCCCACGUCGCUGGACUCAGCCAUCGAAUUGGCGGAGGACCACAUGGCGGCGUGCCAAGGGGUCGGCGAACCCCUACCAUCUGCCUCUCUCUCUCCUUCUUUUAAUUCCCCCUCUCUCUCUAAACCUGUCCCUCUACCCAGGUCUCAUCCGCCCGGCCCGCCACGUGUUCCACCCCGGGGGCGGGGUGGAACGGAACAGGGCCCGUAUUAUGGACCAAGAGCCCCGCCCAGGGGGGCGGGACUCCCUGCCGCCGGGCCGGACUCCGCUCCUGCUUCUCCCCUCUCUCUGCAACAGGUCUGGGCUGGCCUGUUGUCGUUGCGGGGACCCGGAGCACUUUGUGGACAGGUGUCCAGUGAUGGAGGUUGGGACGUUGAUCCGGGUCCCGGACGAUCCGCAGGCUGCCCCCGGUCAAGCUGGCGAGUACCAAAUACCUGUGAGUGUCAAGGGGGGUACUUAUCAGGCUUUGGUGGACUCAGGAUGUAACCAAACCUCGGUGCAUCAAAGCCUGAUUUCGUCCGGGGCAUUGGAUGCAGGCCGCUUGGUUAAGACUGACGCGUCGGACAGAGGGCUGGGUGCUGUCCUGUCCCAGGAGAUAGAGGGAGAGGAACGGCCGGUGCUGUACAUUAGCCACAAGCUCUCAAAGAGGGAAGCUAAGUACAGCACCAUUGAGAAAGAGUGUUUGGCUAUUAGGUGGGCCAUCCUCACCCUCCGCUAUUAUCUCCUGGGACGGGAAUUCACUCUCUGUUCGGACCACGCUCCCCUGCAGUGGCUCCACCGCAUGAAGGAUACCAAUGCGCGGAUCACUCGUUGGUAUCUGGCAUUACAGCCUUUUAAGUUCAAGGUGGUCCACAGGCCAAUUUCAGAUGGCUGUGGCCAA